UACGUAGGGUGCGAGCGUUGUCCGGAAUUAUUGGGCGUAAAGGGCUCGUAGGCGGUUUGUCGCGUCGGGAGUGAAAACCUUGGGCUUAACUUAGGGCUUGCUUUCGAUACGGGCAGACUAGAGGUAUGCAGGGGAGAACGGAAUUCCUGGUGUAGCGGUGAAAUGCGCAGAUAUCAGGAGGAACACCGGUGGCGAAGGCGGUUCUCUGGGCAUGAUCUGACGCUGAGGAGCGAAAGUGUGGGGAGCGAACAGG
rnacentral:rRNA from 1 species